rnacentral:misc_RNA from 1 species
GGGUUGGUAAUUACUGAUCUCACAGAGAUGAGAGGACAAUUGUUUGCGAAGAACUGAAUCCACUAGCUUAGACUUUAUAGAUGUGAAGCAAGUUUGCCAUUCAUAAGCUGAGUUUUGAGUCUAAAGCAUGUCUUCAGGAUUUCUGAAGAAUGGUCGGUGAAGGAUGAGCAGGGAUCUGAUUUCCUUUGCACAUUCAGGAGACCUUUUGUUGAGAUUGUUGUCAAGGAUGGUUUUUU